GACGAACGCUGGCGGCGUGCUUAACACAUGCAAGUCGAACGGAAAGGCCCUGCUUUUGUGGGGUGCUCGAGUGGCGAACGGGUGAGUAACACGUGAGUAACCUGCCCUUGACUUUGGGAUAACUUCAGGAAACUGGGGCUAAUACCGGAUAGGAGCUCCUUCUGCAUGGUGGGGUUUGGAGAGUUUCGGCGGUUGGGGAUGGACUCGCGUCUUAUCAGCUUGUUGGUGGGGUAGUGGCUUACCAAGGCUUUGACGGGUAGCCGGCCUGAGAGGUUGACCGGCAACAUUGGGACUGAGAUACGGCCCAGACUCCUACGGGAGGCAGCAGUGGGGAAUAUUGCACAAUGGGCGGAAGCCUGAUGCAGCAACGCCGCGUGCGGGAUGACGGCCUUCGGGUUGUAAACCGCUUUCGCCUGUGACGAAGCGUGAGUGACGGUAAUGGGUAAAGAAGCACCGGCUAACUACGUG
rnacentral:rRNA from 1 species